GAUGAAGAACGCAGCGAAAUGCGAUAAGUAGUGUGAAUUGCAGAAUUCAGUGAAUCAUCGAAUCUUUGAACGCACAUUGCGCCCCUUGGUAUCCCGAGGGGCAUGCCUGUUCGAGCGUCAUUUCACCACUCAAGCCUGGCUUGGUGUUGGGCGACGUCCCCUUUGGGGACGCGCCUUGAAACGCUCGGCGGCGUGGCACCGGCUUUAAGCGUAGCAGAAUCUUUCGCUUUGGAAGUCGGGGCCCCGUCUGCCGGAAGACCUACUCGCAAGGUUGACCUCGGAUCAGGCAGGGAUACCCGCUGAACUUAAGCAUAUCAAUAAGCGGAGGA
rnacentral:misc_RNA from 1 species